AUGAAUUCUUAUUUAGAGAGGAGCAAAGCUCAAAGAUCCAUCGGUUUAGAUCCUCUUGCCAAAGCCUUUGUCCCACCUGAAAAUGAUGUUCAUGCUUCACCUGAUCCGGCAUCAGUUUUUAGGCCAAAACAAGGAUUUGCUGAGCGAAUGUAUGGAAGGCCAUUUGGGACAGAAGCUCCAUAUCAAGAAGUACAGACUGCAAAUGGACGUCAAAUGGGACAUAUAUUAAAUUCUCAAACUCAAAGCGGUAACAACCAAAAUGACAUGGUGGGCAUUAUGCAAAAACAAAACGAAAUCACUGCACAGUUGGUUCAGCAAAAUAUAUCCUCUGUUCUUCCUCCAAGAAAUCUGCAAAUUUUUGAUGGAGACCCUCUUCAAUAUAAAUCCUUUAUUAGAGCCUUUGAAAAUGUAGUGGAGAAGAAAACGAAUAAUCCUAGCGACUGUUUGCAGUUCCUUGAACAGUACACUAGGGGGCAGCCAAAGGAUCUUGUGCAUAGUUGUCAACAUAUACCUCCAGAUCAAGGCUAUCAAAGAGCCAAGAAUCUUCUUGCUCAGCAUUUUGGAGAUGAAUAUAAAAUUACAUCUGCUUACAUGGAAAAAAUAUUUAACUGGACACCCGUUAAAGGUGAAGAUGUAAAAGGAUUACAAGCAUUCUCUCUGUUUCUCCGAGGAUGUUCAAACUUAACAGAACAAGUAAUGUAUAUGAGGGAGCUGGAUUUACCAUCUAACAUGCGGAGCAUCAUUUUAAAACUUCCUUACAAACUAAGAGAAAAAUGGAGGAAUAUGGCAUGUGAUCUGCAAGAAAGAAGUGGACAGAGAGCUACAUUCAUUGAUCUUGUAAAUUUUAUUGAGAGACAAGUGAAAAUUGCUUUAGAUCCAGUUUUUGGAAACAUUCAAGAUCCACAACAUCCUAACGUUAAGGCCUCCUGUAGCAGCCAGCUACGACAAAGAAGGAAGGGGAGCAGCUACGUUACGAAUGUCACUCCUGUGAGGGAAGAAGCUAUGGCACGGCCUGCAGAACAUAGCACCCACUCCACUCAUUGCUGUCUUUUCUACCUGCAGAGAAAUCACACAUUAGGUCAGUGCUCACAGUUUAAAGCCAAGGCACACCGGGACAGGAUCAACUUCAUUAAGGACAAGGGUAUUUGUUUUGGUUGCCUGAAGGUAGGCCACACAAGCAAAGACUGUAGGAGUCGAUUGGAUUGCUAUGUAUGUCAUCAGAAACACCCCGGGGUCCUUCAUAUAGAAAGACAGGAUAAAGGCAUAUCUGUAGAACAAGUCAAACAUCCUGUGAGCCUUCCAAGUGAUUCAACUGUAACCUUUCAGACGUGUGGCCAUAUUGGGGCCGGUGUGGAAGAUUAUUCUACCUUCUCUAUUGUUGCAGUAAAGGUCAGAAGCAAACUGACUAAUAAGAUCAUGCAAACAUAUGCUUUCCUGGAUCCUGGCAGUUCCGGCACAUUCUGUACAGAAACCAUGGCGAAAAGGUUAAAUUUG
ensembl:lncRNA